CCACAGGAGUUGUCCUUGAUCUGGAUAAAUCCAUAAAAAUUGUGAAGAAAUUAAAGCUAACUGGUUUUCCAUAUAAAAUUUUCAAGAACACUUCAUUUAUUAAGGGAAUAUUUAAUUCUGCCUUGGAAGUGGCCAAAUUUGAAGGUGCUGUGAUUUGAACUGUCAGUGGGAUAAGGGGGCAGAUCAAGAAAGCACUCUGUGCUCCAGAAGGAGCUUUCCGGGCCAGCUUUGAGGAUAAGCUGCUGAUGAGCGAUAUUGUCUUCAUGCGAACUUGGUAUCCUGUUUCCAUCCCAGCCUUCUAUAACCCAGUAACAUCUUUGUUGAAACCAGUGGGUGAGAAAGACACCUGGUCAGGAAUGUGGACCACGGGCCAACUCAGGCUCGCCUAUGGUGUCAGACUAAAGGCAAAUAAGGACUCUCUGUAUAAGGUACUGGUCGUGUGUGUGUUAGUGGAGAUGAAGCCUGUGCUCUACAGACAGGGAGUCACACAGACACUUUUCUAUAAUUUCUUACGUACUUUGAAUAUUCAAGUAUAAAGUCUAACGUUAAAUUUGAUUGAACAAUUGUAUAUUUGUGGGAUAUUUUGGAAUGGAACACCAAAAAAUGGUAAUAGUGGUUCUUUCUGGAUUGAAGACAAACUUUUCUUUUUUAAAAUAAAUUUUAUUUUAUAUA
rnacentral:lncRNA from 1 species